rnacentral:rRNA from 1 species
UGUAGAGAAUCUGCCCUGUACUGGGGGACAACAGAGGGAAACUUCUGCUAAUACCCCAUAUGAGCGUACCUGCGAUGGUAUUCUUGAAAGUUCCGGCGGUACAGGAUGAGUCUGCAUCUGAUUAGCUAGUUGGUGGUGUAAUGGACUACCAAGGCGACGAUCAGUAGCUGGGUUGAGAGGAUGAUCAGCCACAAUGGGACUGAGACACGGCCCAUACUCCUACGGAAGGCAGCAG